GAGGCCUCCUGCCAACAGCCACACGAACUCAUCAUCCAUGGUGGGGAGCCAUCUCCAGCCCCAGCCACGCCUUCAGAAACCAACUUUUCAGCCGCGGCAGCAUCAGGUGUUAGGGAGAGACACCUCCUGGCAGCACAUGGAAUUACAACCUAGCACAAUCAGACACUGGAACCAGCCAGGGACUGGGUUUCAGCAGCCAUCGGUGGAAUACCAGGAGAUUCCCAAGAGUGGGAGAAAAAUCCCAUACCAAGAAACAAUCAUGGAUAAGGCACCAGGAAGACAUACUAGGUUACAAAAGCCCAUCCAAGGCCAGGCGCAGUGGCUCACGCCUGUAAUCCUAGCACUUUUGGAGGCCAAGGCGAGCAGAUCACUUGAGGUCAGGAGUUCGAGACAAAAGCCCAUCCACCACCAGACAUAAAUCUCCUGUGUCACAUCCCUCAAGCCAUGCAUGGCUG
rnacentral:lncRNA from 1 species